GUCAUAAUCAGUGUCAGGGGUAAAUGAUGUUGAUAUUGUUUUUCAAUUUUUAAUCAAAUAAAUUUAAACAUUUCAACAAAUUUUUUUCUUCCUAUUAAGAGUGAAAUUAUAAAGCAGGUGAAAAUUCCAGUUAUUUUCACCACAAUUCACCACUUGUACCAAUCUCAGCCAAUUACCAUAAUUAUCCAUUCAUUUUCUUCAAGCUUUGACAGUUUUUAUCUUUU
rnacentral:lncRNA from 1 species